UACCAGCACCCCGAGUGGUCGGGACGAUUAUUGGGCCUAAAGCAUCCGUAGCCGGUUCUACAAGUCUUCCGUUAAAUCCACCUGCUUAACAGAUGGGCUGCGGAGGAUACUAUAGAGCUAGGAGGCGGGAGAGGCAAGCGGUACUUAGUGGGUAGGGGUAAAAUCCGUUGAUCCAUUGAAGACCACCAGUGGCGAAGGCGGCUUGCCAGAACGCACUCGACGGUGAGGGAUGAAAGCCGGGGGAGCAAACCGG
rnacentral:rRNA from 1 species